AUGUCGUCGUCGGCCGACCCCUCCGUCCACACCAACUACAGUGCCGGCAGUCCCAGGCUGAAACCGUGCGUGUCCGACAUGAGCGUCGGCAACUCGCGCUUCUUCACGUACCAGGAGAUGUACCAGAUCACCGACGGCUUCUCGCCGCGCAAUUUGCUCGGCGAGGGAGGGUUCGGGUCCGUGUACAAGGGCCGGCUGCCCGAAGGGAAGGACGUGGCUGUCAAGCAGCUGAGGGAUGGUAGCGGGCAAGGGGAGCGCGAGUUCCAGGCCGAGGUGGAGAUCAUCAGCCGCGUGCAUCACCGGCAUUUGGUUUCUCUUGUCGGGUACUGCAUCGCCAAUAGCCAGAGGCUGCUCAUCUACGAUUUCGUGUCGAAUGACACUCUGCAUUAUCACCUUCACGGCCAUCCAAGGAUUAUUCACCGAGACAUCAAAUCCUCAAACAUUUUGUUGGAUAAUAACUUUGACGCACUGGUGGCCGAUUUCGGUCUUGCAAGACUGGCUUUGGACGCUGUAACACAUGUGACUACACGGGUUAUGGGGACAUUUGGAUACAUGGCUCCGGAGUAUGCGUCAAGUGGCAAGCUGACUGAGAAAUCCGAUGUGUUCUCUUUUGGUGUGGUACUAUUAGAGCUUAUGACUGGUCGAAAGCCUGUCGAUGCAUCAAGACCAUUGGGUGAUGAGAGCCUUGUUGAGUGGGCUAGACCGUUGCUUAGUCGAGCUCUCGAGACGGGAAAGCUGGAAGAGUUGGUCGACCCCAGGCUUGAGAGGAACUUCAACGAGGUCGAAAUGUUCCGUAUGAUUGAAUCUGCAGCCGCCUGCAUUCGACACUCGUCAUCAAAGAGGCCCAGAAUGAGCCAGGUGGUGCGGGUCCUCGAUAGCUUAGCGGAUAUCGACCUAACCAACGGCGUCCAGCCAGGGCAGAGCGAGCUCUUCAACGUGGCAAACACGGCGGACAUCAGGAUGUUCCAGCAGAUGGUGCAGGGCAACCAGGACGACAGCUCCGCCUUCAGCCAGUAUAGCUGGAUCAGUCGCAGUAGGGCCGACGCCGAGGCCACCUCCUCAAACUCCCGGAUCUUAUGA
rnacentral:rRNA from 1 species